rnacentral:lncRNA from 1 species
AUUAGGAGGGAGCAUGCGCUUGAGAAACUGAAAACAAGGCCCCCACAGCUGGAGUGGAGAGGACAAGACGAUGUUCGGUGUGAGCUAAGACCACAGCGAUGAGGAGGGCCAAAAUCACACCGGGCCACCGGGCCACACGGAGAACGAUGCCCUCUUCUCCAUUGCGUGCAACUGAACCAACAUGGCUGGCAUUCCAGCACUUAUGGAGGAUACAAAUCUUAAUCUGUGGUCUGCUGUGAUCUCCGAGCCCCCAGACCGGUAAGGAACCAGAACUCAUGUCAAAUAACCCCAAAGUUUUCGUGACGUUUUGU